AUGGGAGAGCCAAGCAAUCCAAUGUCAGUGCAGAGCAAUUGCAGAGAAAGUCUUGCAGCAAUUUGCAAUUACUUAGCGUCAGGAGUGUGACAAAUAUGGCUGCUUUUUCCUGAACCUUGCAGUCCUUCACUUGCAAUUGCUACAAGAAAGAGUUGAGCAUGUCACAAAGUUACAGUUGGUUAAGAAUUGGCAUGACUGAAGCAGAGUGUUUCUUGGAAAGGACAUGCUGGGGUCGGCUGUUACUUGUCUCUGCCCCAGCACGGGAAAAGGUGGUUCUGGGCAGGCCGCACUCUCGAAGAAGGAGUCUGGACUCUCGCUUUUCGGUCUUCAGUUGAGUUUAUUGUUCCUUAUCUACAAAGUUUUUCUGUCUGUCCAGCCGAGGUCUGAUCAGCAAGACAGCCAAGGGCACUCUCUCCCACCCACGGGGCGGUUGUCUCUUUUAUAGUGAAAACUACGUAUUAGAUAUUUACCUUUAAUUUCCAAUCCUUUCUGCCCUUGUUGGCAAGUGCACUUUCUCUAUGAACCAAUCCACACAUGCCAACAUCAUCCUGAACAUGGAUGCCAAGGGAAGAAAGAAGAAGGACAGGGCACGCCCAAAUUCCUCCAUCUUGGGACUCCUGAUCCAUGCACAGAAUUCUUGACUCCCCUGUACAACACAUAAAACCCCCAUGUACAGUGCAUUAUAACUCAAGUUUUAGCAAGUGAAUAUCAUCCCCUCACCAUUCAGGCCUGAAAUUCUCUCAUUUCCUCACAUUCAGGUGUCAUUUCUUUAGAAGGAUCAAAGUCAAGCCACCAGGUACUUUUGGCAACAUUCCAGGGCUUCCGAGCCGCCCAAGGGUUGUCUCGGUAGCUCUGGACAUCCGGAGUGAUGUACUGAGUUCCCACAAGGACACGCACAUGUUCUUAGCAUAAGCAGAGGGGAGCCUGGUGUGAAGAAACCACCAAAGACCCAGAGAUGAACUGAAUUAAAAAAUGUUGUGUAAGGAACAGCCUAGAGAGGAGACAAUUUUGAGCUUGCAGUGUUGGUGUGCUCAGGCUGUGGCCACUUGGAGACUUGGAUGGACUGAAUCUCCUGUAAAGGAGAAAUGCACAGCCUUGUGACCAGGAUUGUGCUGAGCAUCACCCAUUACCUGUUCCAAACCUCUAUUCCAAACUAAAAGGACCUACAAGACCUCAAGUAUUGUCUCUCCCUCAAACUGUAAGAGCUGUAGCAUCCAUCAAUUUUCUGUGAAAGCCCAACACAUCCUCUUUGGUAAGGUGGGAGGUGGAGACACAGCACUGUGAUUUACUCACAUAUUACCCAGAUGUGUCUGCAGAUAUGCAGGUAAAUUUGGAGCUUUGGCACGCCCAGGAAAGUACCUACAGUGAUCUUUGAUCCAGCAGAACUGUGCUGCCUCCAAGAGGAAAGGCCCUAUGGGAGAUGCUGUGGGAGCUGAUCUCUCUCCCACCUGUUGGUGAACCUGAGGCCGUGGUGAGCAGAAGGCUCUGACCUGGAGGGCAGAUGGAAAUCCUCUCUUUUGUGAGAAGAAUUGUGUGCCUGGAGUCUGCUGAGGAAAUAGCAGAGCACAGAUUCCUCCCAAAGGUGGGAACAGAAGAGCUGUGGCAAAUCAGCUCCAGGUGCUGUCAGUAGCAGAUGAAGAAAGGGAUUGCAGGUUGCACACUCAAGGAGAGAGGUUGGACAAAUGGGCCCAAGAACACCAGAAGCAGCCAGCCUAAGAUCAGAAAGUGGAAAAGCCACAUCUUCAGGCAACCAGUGCCUGAGCAAAGCAAAAUAGUACCCAAAACACUCACAGCAGACUAACCACCCUAAAAGAGAUAACCAGAUUCCAAAUUCAGUGGCGCAAAGCCCUGUGCAUUAAUAUUUCUGUGGUAAAGGUAUAUUUUUGUGUCAGCACACAAAUCAGCCUUUCAUUUCCUAGGUUGUUGACUGGAACCACAGCAGUUGCUUCGUGAUAACGCAGUGCCAGGCACCAGAGGAGAGCAGAAAUACUCUGUGGUCUGCAAGAGUCAGAACAUUGGAGCAAGACAGGAAGGAAGUUGGAUCAUCCGAACAUAUGCCACUAAACUGGCCAAGAUGUGUGCAGCUUGGGUAGAAGAGAUUACAGGAACAGAUUUGAAUAAUUCAUCUGCAAGAUCAAUUAUUGAAUCUGCUGUGUUUUCAGUGCAUCAACUUCUGGAGGCAUGAGAGCAUUUAAGCGGAAGGUAGAGUAUAAAUCACUGUCAUUAAAAACAGAAAAAAGAGGCACAGGUGGCCAGCAAAGAGAGAUUUGGGAAAGCAAAUCACCUGAGAAACUAUGAUUUCUUUAUUAUUUUGAGAGAGUAACAUUAUCUUAGUAAGCUGGUGGACCUUCCAGCAUGCCUAAUCUGUUUCUAGGAAGUCACUACAGGAACCCAGCUGAUUGGUGCUUGAUUGUGUUGUUUAUUUUGGGCAUUACUGUUCCUCUGGCUUUCUCCCUUUCUUCCAUGUUGUCUCUGCAAUAAAAAGCCCCAAGUGUGGGACAGCUUUUGCCAGCUGAUUGCCUUGGAACAUCAUAAGAUGGAAUAAUAGAAAUUGUUAUGUUAAAAUUAAAGAACAUAUAUCAUUCUAGAAGCUUCUGAUUACAGGAUUGGACACUAGCAACAUUCUAGCUGUGCUCAACAGAACAUGGUAUUUUACUGAAAGGGCCUAAGGGGUUUUUUUCUUGGUAGUUUUUUUUG